CAAGGUGCCGGAGAGGGUGAGAGCCCCGUCGAGGGAAGCGGAUGAAAAGGACCGCGAAGGAAAGAUGAAAAGGACUUUGAGAAAAGAGUCAAAGAGUACUUGAAAUUGUCAGGAGGGAAGCAGAUGGGGGCCGGCGGUGCAUCCCAGUCGGAUGUGGAAUGGCGAUGAGCAGGUCUGCCAAUCUACUCGGGGCAUGGACCGACGCAGAUUUGGGCGGCGUCGCAAGCCCGGGCCUUUGUUGUGCUCGCGGAGAUGUCGUCGCCCCAAUCGUGGCUGGCAGCGUGCGCCCUUGGCGUGCUCAGGCAUCAGCACUCUUCAGGCGUCGGCCUGCGGGCUCCCCAUUCGGCCCAUCUUGAAACACGGACCAAGGAGUCUGACAUGUGUGCGAGUCAAUGGGCCAGAAAACCCGUGAGUUGCAAGGAAGCUGAGUGGUGGGAUCCCCUUGAGGGUUGCACUGCCGACCGACCUUGAUCUUCUAAGAAGGGUUCGAGUGUGAGCAUGCCUGUCGGGACCCAAAAGAUGGUGAACUAUGCCUGAGCAGGGCGAAGCCACAGGAAACUCUAGUGGAGGCCUGCAACGAUACUGACGUGCAAAUCGUUUGUCUGACUUGUGUAUAGGGGCAAAAGACUAAUCGAACCGUCUAGUAGCUGGUUCCCUCCGAAGUUUCCCUCAGAAUAGCAGGAGCCCAUGGGCGAGUUCUAUCGGGUAAAGCCAAUGAUUCGAGGCAUCGGGGGCGCAACGCCCUCGACCUAUUCUAAAAAUUUAAAUAGGUAGGAUGGCGCGGCUGCUUUAUUUAGCCGUGCCACGAAAUCGAGAGCUCCAAGUGGGCCAUUUUUGGUAAGCAAAAUUGGCAAUGCAGAAUGAACCGAAAGCUGGGUUAGGACACCCAACUGCGCGUUAACCUAGAACCCACAAAGGGCCGAAAAGGGGAAAGGUUCCAUGUAAAAUGCACUUGCACAUGGGUUAGUCGAUCCUAAGAGAAAGGGCAAUCCUGUUUGACAGUGCCCAGCGCGCGAGCAUCGAAAGGGAAUCAGGUUAAAAUUCCUGAACCGGGACGUCGGGAAGAGUUAUCUUUUCUGUUUAAUAGCCUGCCCACCCUGGAAAUAGCUCAGCUAGAGGUAGGGUCUAGCAGGUGGAAGAGCACCGCACGUCGCUCGGUGUCUGGUACGUCCUUGACGGCCCUUGAAAAUUUGGAGGACUGAGUGCCUCCCACGCCCGGUCGUACUCAUAACCGCAUCAGGUCUCCAAGAUGAACAGCCUCUGGUCGAUGGAACAAUGUAGACAAGGGAAGUCGGAAAAAUGGAUCCGUAACCUUGGGAAAAGGAUUAGCUCUAACGGCUGGGCACGGGGGUCCCUGUCUCGAGUCCGUCGGCUGUCAAUGGACUGCUCGAGCUGCUCUCACGGCGAUAGCUGGUCGUCGCGUGCCUGCCGGGGGACGGACUGGGAGCGGUUCCUUUGGGGGCCUUCCCCUGGCAACGAACAGUUGACUCAGAACUGGUACGGAGAAGGGGAAUCCGACUGUUUAAUUAAAACAAAGCAUUGCGAUGGUCCUUGUGGAUGCUCACGCAAUGUGAUUUCUGCCCAGUGCUUUGAAUGUCAAAGUGAAGAAAUUCAACCAAGCGCAGGUAAAAGGCGGGAGUAACUAUGACUCUCUUAAGGUAGCCAAAUACCUCGUCAUCUAAUUAGUGACGCGCAUGAAUGGAUUAACGAGAUUCCCACUGUCCCUGUCUACUAUCCAGCAAAACCACAGCCAAGGGAAUGGGCUUGGCAGAAUCAGCGGGGAAAGAAGACCCUGUUGAGCUUGACUCUAGUCCGACUCUGGGAAAUGACUUAAGAGGUGUAGGAUAAGUGGGAGCUGGAAAUGGCGAAAGUGAAAUACCUUUACUUUUAAUGUUAUUUUACUUAUUCCGUGAAAAGGAAGCAGGGCAACACCCCUUUUUUGUACCCAAGACCCACCUCGAUGGGUCGAUCCGGGCGGAAGACAUUAUCAGGUGAGGAGUUUGGCUGGGGCGGCACAUCUGUUAAAAGAUAAUGCAGGUGUCCUAAGAUGAGCUCAACGAGAACAGAAAUAUCGUGUGGAACAAAAGGGUAAAAGCUCGUUUGAUUCUAAUUUCCAGUAAGAAUAUGAAUCGUGAAAGCGUGGCCUAUCAAUCCUUUAGACCUUCAGAAUUUGAAGCUAGAGGUGUCAGAAAACUUACCAAAGGGAUAACUGGCUUGUGGCAGCCAUGCGUUCAUAGCGACGUUGCUUUUUGAUCCUUCGAUGUCAGCUCUUUCUAUCAUUGUGAAGCAGAAUUCACCAAGUGUUGGAUUGUUCACCCACCAAUAGGGAACGUGAGCUGGGUUUAGACCGUCGUGAGGCAAGUUUAGUUUUACCCUACUGAUGACAGCGUAGCAAUAGUAAUUCAACCUAGUACGAGAGGAGCCGUUGAUUCACACAAUUUGUCAUCGCGCUUGGUUGAAAAGCCUGUGGCGCGAAGCCACCGUGCGCUGGAUUAUGACUGAACGCCUCUAAGUUAGAAUCCGGGCUAGAAGCGACGCACGUACCCGCCGCCCGAUUGCCGACCAGCAGUAGGGGCUCUCACAACCGAGUUGUUACGAGGGCCGCCUUGAAGUGUUAUUUCAACCGAGCGGCAGGUAGAAUCCCUUGCAGACAACUUAAAUACGCGACCAGGUAUUGUAAGUGGCAGAGUG
rnacentral:rRNA from 1 species